rnacentral:rRNA from 1 species
UUCCCUAUAGUAGAGAAUAGACCCGGUGAAAAUCGGAUUAAUGCUCUAUGUUAUUCAAUGCGGACAUCUAAGUUGAAUCAAAGGUUUACCGCUAUAGGGAUGGGGAUGCGUCUGAUUAGGUUGUUGCGGGGUAACGGCCCACCAAGCCCACGAUCAGUAGGGGUUCUGAGAGGAAGGUCCCCCACAUUGGAACUGAGACACGGUCCAAACUCCUACGGGAGGCAGCAGUGAGGAAUAUUGGUCAAUGGACGAAAGUCUGAACCAGCCAAGUAGCCGUGCAGGAUGACGGCCCUAUGGGUUGUAAACUGCUUUUAUACAGGGAUAAAGUCGGGAACGUUGUUCCCGUUUGUAGGUACUGUAUGAAUAAGGACCGGCUAAUUCCGUGCCAGCCGCUGC